rnacentral:rRNA from 1 species
UACGGGGGGUGCGAGCGUUGUCCGGAAUCACUGGGCGUAAAGGGCGCGUAGGUGGUUUGAUAAGGGUGUGGUGAAAGUCCGGAGCUCAACUCCGGAUCUGCCGUGCCGACUGUCAAACUCGAGGGCUGUAGAGGCAGACGGAAUUCCGGGUGUAGCGGUGGAAUGCGUAGAGAUCCGGAGGAAGACCGGUGGCGAAGGCGGUCUACUGGGCAGUUUCUGACACUGAGGCGCGACAGCGUGGGGAGCAAACAGG